rnacentral:rRNA from 1 species
GACGAACCGUGCGAACGUUGUUCGGAAUCACUGGGCUUAAAGGGCGCGUAGGCGGGUCACCAAGUCUGUGGUGAAAGCCUCCAGCUUAACUGGAGAAGUGCCGUGGAUACUGGUGGUCUCGAGGGAGGUAGGGGCAUGUGGAACUUCCGGUGGAGCGGUGAAAUGCGUAGAUAUCGGAAGGAACGCCGGUGGCGAAAGCGACGUGCUGGACCUCUUCUGACGCUGAGGCGCGAAAGCUAGGGGAGCAAACGGG